rnacentral:rRNA from 1 species
UACUAGAGUAGCACUCGCAUAUCAAUAAGCGGAGGAAAAGAAACUAACAAGGAUUCCCCUAGUAACGGCGAGUGAAGCGGGAAGAGCUCAAAUUUGAAAUCUUAAAGGGUUUCCCUUUACGAAUUGUAGUUUAAAGAAGUGUUUUCUGUUGAGGUUUUGGUAAAAGUUCUUUGGAAUAGGACAUCAUAGAGGGUGAGAAUCCCGUAUUUGACCUUUACUUUCAACUUUGUGAUACACUUUCAAAGAGUCGGAUUGUUUGGGAAUGCAGGUCCAAAAUGGGUGGUAAAUUUCAUCUAAAGCUAAAUAUUGGCGAGAGACCGAUAGCGAACAAGUACCGUGAGGGAAAGAUGAAAGGAACUUUGAAAAGAGAGUUAAACAGUACGUGAAAUUGUCAAAAGGGAAGCGUUUGACACCAGUGUUGUUUUUCUGAAAAUCAAUUAAAGAACUGUUUAUGCUAAGCUGUUUAGACUUUAUCAGCUAUCUGUUUAGUUUUGAGCUUUUCUUUAAUGCACUUUUCAGUUAACAAGUCAACAUCAAUUUCUUCUGCUGUAAAAAAGCUUGAGGAAGGUGGCUUGAGAUUCGUCUUAAGUGUUUAUAGCCUCUUGCCUAUGCAGUCGGAGAGAUUGAGGUCUGCAGCGUAGAUCCUUCGGGGCUAAAUGCAUUUGUGCUAAGUUAUAGCAUUUUAUAGACAACUUGUUGACUAUGAUUUGUCUUGUAGCUUACUCGCUUAUGUUAUUUUACCUACGCUUAGGAUGUUGAACUCUAUCACACACAG